rnacentral:rRNA from 1 species
CCUACGGGAGGCAGCAGUGGGGAAUAUUGGGCAAUGGGCGCAAGCCUGACCCAGCAAUGCCGCGUGAAGGAAGAAGGCUUUCGGGUUGUAAACUUCUUUUCUCAGGGACGAAGAGAGUGACGGUACCUGAGGAAUAAGCCACGGCUAACUACGUGCCAGCAGCCGCGGUAAUACGUAGGGGGCAAGCGUUAUCCGGAUUUACUGGGAGUAAGGGGCGUGUAGGCGGGAAAGCAAGUCAGAUGUGAAAACCAUGGGCUCAACCUGUGGCCUGCAUUUGAAACUGUUGAUCUGGAGUGUCGGAGAGGUAAGCGGAAUUCCUUGUGUAGCGGUGAAAUGCGUAGAUAUAAGGAAGAACACCAGUGGCGAAGGCGGAUAACUGGACGAUAACUGACGGUGAGGCGCGAAAGCGUGGGGAGCAAACAGGAUUAGAUACCCGUGUAGUC